GGACUACACGGGUAUCUAAUCCUGUUUGCUACCCACGCUUUCGCGCCUCAGCGUCAGUUACUGUCCAGGUGGCCGCCUUCGCCACUGGUGUUCCUCCUCAUCUCUACGCAUUUCACCGCUACACGAGGAAUUCCACCACCCUCUCCAGUACUCUAGCCUCCCAGUCUCGGAUGCAGUUCCUGGGUUGAGCCCAGGGAUUGCACAUCCGACUUAAGAAACCGCCUACGCGCCCUUUACGCCCAAUAAUUCCGAAUAACGCUUGCCCCCUCUGUAUUACCGCGGCGGCUGGCAC
rnacentral:rRNA from 1 species